GGUGCCAUGUUGCAUCAUUCCCCUUGUUGAAGGCGUUGCAGUGAGGAUCUCGACCUCUAGGCAUAUUUUUUAGAUGAAAACUGAAGAAUCGGCUCGCAGGUUCGGACGGCAACGGCAUCUUGGCGUUGCUUUCCUCUUCAAGUGCUGUUUUGGAGUUCUUGGGAUGGUGGUACUAGAUCUGCUUGGAGGAAUGGCGGUGCACGGCUGUUUCAAUGCACUUGAUUGGGUUGCUAGAGUGUAUGGUAGAGAUUGACUAAGUGUAGUUUCUAUGUGACUAGAGAAUAACAUGAAGUAGAUGAUGGUCAAG
rnacentral:lncRNA from 1 species